UGAUGAUCAUGAUGAUGAUGAUGAUGAUGAUGAUGAUGAUGACGAUGAUGAUGAUGAUCAUCAUCAUCAUCAUCAUCAUCAUCAUCAUCAUAAUCA
rnacentral:pre_miRNA from 1 species